UUCUGGAUGAUUAAACUUAACUAUUUUGUUCGCUUUGUAGCUUUUCAGGCUGGGUUUCUGCCAUCAUCUUCGUGGGGUUUGGCUGCCCCCCUUCCCUUCCCACCCCUCUGAUAAGGAAAUCGCUGGCUCCUCCUUUUGUUUGCCGAGUGAGAGACCCAGAAAGGAAGAGAAGGAAGGAAAGGGAUGAACCCAUUGGUGGCCCAGUUAAAGCCAGCCCCAAACUGGGAGUUCAGGGCAAGAAACGACCUGGAUGCUCCAGGGACACUCCCAAACUCCUGAGGGAUGAGACCAGUCCCCUGCCCAACGCUUCAGCCCCAGACAACCACUUCACCCGAGGAAAUGCAGAUGUCAAUAUGAGCAGCUUUUUCCAGGAGAAUAAUCCUUAACCAGAUUCUACAUAUCUGCAUUCCCCACCCUGAAAAAUCUGGAGUGAAAACAUUUUACAAGAAACUUCCUCUCCUCGCAGCUGCCUGAACCAGUUACGGAUUUACCAUCUGGCCGCUCCCGUCUCCUUUAUUUACAGGGCUAUGAAACAGCAGAUUUAAUUAAAAAUAAAAAUAAAUUAAAAUUAAUG